rnacentral:tRNA from 1 species
GAGGAGAGGUUAAACCAACAAGAACUGCUAAUUCUUACCUCUGAGUCUAAAACCUCAGUCUCCUUA